rnacentral:rRNA from 1 species
GUGGGGAAUAUUGGACAAUGGGCGCAAGCCUGAUCCAGCCAUGCCGCGUGGGUGAAGAAGGCCUUCGGGUUGUAAAGCCCUUUUGUCCGGAAAGAAAAGCACGGGAUUAAUACCCUCGUGUGAUGACGGUACCGGAAGAAUAAGCACCGGCUAACUUCGUGCCAGCAGCCGCGGUAAUACGAAGGGUGCAAGCGUUACUCGGAAUUACUGGGCGUAAAGCGUGCGUAGGUGGUGCGUUAAGUCUGUCGUGAAAUCCCCGGGCUCAACCUGGGAAUGGCGAUGGAUACUGGCGCGCUAGAGUGAGGUAGAGGAGAGUGGAAUUCCCGGUGUAGCAGUGAAAUGCGUAGAGAUCGGGAGGAACAUCAGUUGCGAAGGCGGCUCUCUGGACCAUCACUGACACUGAGGCACGAAAGCGUGGGGAGCAAACAGGAUUAGAAACCCGUGUAGUCC